ACAAUAUCACACUCAUCUGCAAGAAACAAAGAUGAGUUGAAUUUUAUACUUGUCAUAUUUCAGAUAACCAUUAAAAUAUUUUAUGACUGUCCAUGUGGAUAGAAUAAAGGAAGGGUAUCUGGAAUGGGUGUUUGUUUGGAAAUAUCAAACUUAGGAAUCAGAAAAAAAUCUUGAAUUAGUUUUAACAUUCUUUAAUUUCAAAAAAAUGUGUUGGAUAUUGUCAAUCUGUGUUAACUACUUAAAAAAGCAGAAAGUUAGUGUCCUAGUUAAAAAGUCUAUCGUAGCCAGAAUACUCUCAUUAAAAAUUAGAUGUUGUUUUAUGUCAAUUUCCAAGCAUUCACAGCAAACAUUAAAACAGUAUUUAAUGAAAGCCUACUCUUUCUUGCCAUAACUGAAAAUACAUUUAUACCAAGCUUAUAUUUGUCUUAACAUAUAUAGUUUGAGUUCCUGUCAUGAUUUUCUUUAUUUUUUAGUUUAAUUUUUAUUAGAUAUUUUCUUUAUUUACAUUUCAAACGUUAUCCCCUUUCUUAGUUUCUCCUCUGAAAACCCCCUAUCUCCUUCCCCCUCCCCCUGCUCACCAACCAACCCACUCCUGCUUCCUGACCCUGGCAUUCUCCUAUACUGGAGCAUAGAACUUUCACAGGACCCAGGGCUUCUCCUCCCAUUGAUGGCCGACUAGGCCAUCCUCUGCUACAUAUGCAGCUAGAGACACAAGUUCCACCAUGUGUUUUCUUUGGUUAGUGGUUUUGUCCUAGGGAGCUCUUUUUAACAUGGGAUUUUUCCUAGUUGUGAAGAAAUGCUUGCUUUACUUUUAGAGUAUUCAUCAUAUGCAAAUUAGAGCAACAAAAUGGUAUGGCCAUGGAGAAAUUAUAUUUGUGUAUGGGCAUAAAGAGAUUCUUGAGCAAUGUAAAUAGAAAAAAGUCAAGAAAUAAAUUGUUAUGUUUUUCAGUCUUUGGGAUGUUUUGAAAGACUCAUUAAAGAUUCAGAAUGAAUUGAGAGUGAUUUGUAACUUGCAAAUUAAGAUGAAAACUAUACAUUAUUAUAUGUUUCCUACUGAUAUAAUGCUGAAAUGCCUGUUCCCUUUUUUAGUAGUUUAAUAGAUACCAUGUUGGAUUGAUAUGUUCGAAAAGCAUUACUUAAAUUUCCGAAAGAGCACUGUAUUACAACCUUUCUCCAGAAUUUCUAUAAUUACUGCAUCUUAGUCUUCAAGCCAGCUAAUGACAGCUGAAAUCUCCUUGGAUAAAGUGGAUCUAUAAACUGUGGAUGAUGUAAUAAUAACUAAUUUCAGUAUGAUAAUCUCCUAUUACAAGGAGAACAUGAAUUCUAUUCUGCUAAGUUUACCAGUCCAAACAAUUGUUAAUUACUGUUUCGAUGUCUAGAAAAAGUCUUAGAGACACACUAGAUAUCAACCAACCAUGGAAGAACAUUUCACAAAUACUGAACUAUGACAGGUACUUAGAGAAAAUAAAUAUUAACAAAUACAGUUUUAAAAGCCAGUAGAAUAAACAUGUACUAUCAGUUGAUUUCAGACAAUUUAAGCAAAAUUUAUUAUACUUUGUAGAUUCAGAAAUUUGUACUAGAGC
rnacentral:lncRNA from 1 species